GACUCCGGAGAAUCGGUCCAGCCACCGCCUCGUCUCAUGCGAAUGCCGCAAUUUCCCUCAUUCAUUUCCAGCCAAGCUGAACCAUCCGUCGGUGCCGCGGUAUAGUCAUCAUGCCAGCAAUCUUCGACCCAUUCCCAUACAUUGCCGC
rnacentral:misc_RNA from 1 species